UACGUAGGGCGCAAGCGUUGUCCGGAAUUAUUGGGCGUAAAGAGCUCGUAGGCGGCUCGUCGCGUCGACCGUGAAAACCCGCAGCUUAACUGCGGGCCUGCGGUUGAUACGGGCGGGCUAGAGUUCGGUAGGGGAGACUGGAAUUCCUGGUGUAGCGGUGAAAUGCGCAGAUAUCAGGAGGAACACCGGUGGCGAAGGCGGGUCUCUGGGCCGAUACUGACGCUGAGGAGCGAAAGCGUGGGGAGCGAACAGG
rnacentral:rRNA from 1 species